rnacentral:rRNA from 1 species
GCCUUGCAUGUCUAAGUACAAGCCGCUAGACGGCGAAACCGCGAAUGGCUCAAUAAAUCAGUUAUGGUUCCUUAGAACAGUCAAUCCUACUUGGAUAACUGUGGUAAUUCUAGAGCUAAUACAUGCACCCAAGCCCCGACUCGGGGGGCAACUCUCGAGAAAGGGCGCUUUUAUUAGAUCAAAACCAGUCGAGAGCUUCGGCUCUCGUUAAGUUUGGUGACUCUGGAUAACUUCACGCUGAUCGCACGGUCUUCGCACCGGCGACGAUUCUUUCAAAUGUCUGCCUUAUCAACUGUCGAUGGUAGGUUAUGCGCCUACCAUGGUUGCAACGGGUAACGGGGAAUCGGGGUUCGAUUCCGGAGAGGGAGCCUGAGAAACGGCUACCACAUCCAAGGAAGGCAGCAGGCGCGCAAAUUACCCACUCCCGGCACGGGGAGGUAGUGACGAAAAAUAACGAUACGGGACUCUUCCGAGGCCCCGUGAUUGGAAUGAGUACACUUUAAAUCCUUUAACGAGGACCCAUUGGAGGGCAAGUCUGGUGCCAGCAGCCGCGGUAACUCCAGCUCCAAUAGCGUAUAUUAAAGUUGUUGCGGUUAAAAAGCUCGUAGUCGGAGUUCUGUCUUCGGCCGAGGGGGGAUUCUGCCUACACGGUAUGAGUCUCGUCCCCUUUGGGUGUGCGGUGUCAAAGCCGUGCACUCUUAACGGUCGGACAAGUCCGUCGGAGUGUGGUUAUUGUUGGAAGGGCAACCGACCAAUGAGGCCACCGUAAUCGUUCGGGGUGCCUUUAAUCGGGUGUCUCGGGCGGCCGACAUAGUUUACUUUGAACAAAUUAGAGUGCUCAAAGCAGGUGACUACCGCCUGAAUAGUACAGCAUGGAAUGAUGAAAGAGGACCUCGGUCUGAUUUUGCUGGUCUUUAACGGUCGGGCUUCGGCCCGGCCUAUGCAGACCCGAGGUAAUGGUCAAUAGAGACGGACGGGGGCAUCCGUACUGCGGCGACAGAGGUGAAAUUCUUGGACCGCCGCAAGACGAACGACAGCGAAGGCAUUUGCCAAGAAUGUUUUCCUUGAUUAAGAACGAAAGUUAGAGGUUCGAAGGCGAUCAGAUACCGCCCUAGUUCUAACCAUAAACGAUGCCAACUAGCGAUCCGCCGGUGUUACUCCCAUGACUCGGCGGGCAGCUUCCGGGAAACCAAAGUCUUUGGGUUCCGGGGGAAGUAUGGUUGCAAAGCUGAAACUUAAAGGAAUUGACGGAAGGGCACCACCAGGAGUGGAGCCUGCGGCUUAAUUUGACCCAACACGGGAAACCUCACCAGGCCCGGACACUGGAAGGAUUGACAGAUUGAGAGCUCUUUCUUGAUUCGGUGGGUGGUGGUGCAUGGCCGUUCUUAGUUGGUGGAGCGAUAUGUCUGGUUAAUUCCGAUAACGAACGAGACUCUAGCCUGCUAAAUAGGUGCCGGGUUUUUACAUC